UGUACUGCACCUUUUUUCAGUUCAGUGUCAGUGAUGAACCUUUUCUACUUGUGCUACUGUUACACUGAGUUUAGAAGAAUAGUUUGACAUUUUGAGGGACAAUUAGUUAAACUCAUUUCUGAUUUCUGAAGGCUAAAUAAGGACAGAAUUGGAUACCGAAGUAAACAGCAAUUGGCUCUGUCAAAGGUUAACAUAUCUACAUUUCCAGCACCUCUGAAGUCCACUAGUUUAUACAUUGUAUCCCAUUUAUUUGAUAAGUACCAACAAUUGUAUUUUAAUGGGGAAAUGACAUGUUAAGAUUAUGUAGCAGGUCAUUUCUUGGUCAGGACCAAGAAUUUAUAAGAUUUUGUUGUCAUUUUGAGGUAUCCAGACUACCAGCAGAGCUUCAUAUUUGUUGUACAUUAAUACACCAUUUCCAAAAAGAUACACAGGCUCUGCAUAAUAUAAUACCAGCCUGGCAUGUUCAGACCAGUUCAAAUUUAUCACCAAAUGUGUAUUAAUCUAGAAACAUUUUUUUAUUAUUAUUUCCAAGGUGUGUUAACAACGGCGCAUACAAACCUGAGCAGAGCAACUAUAUGAGUCUUGCGACCAGUUGGAGCAACGAGGUGUAUGACGUAUCACUGAGUCACACAUGCCAGCUGGGGGCGGUGCUUGGUCCGUUUUCAACAAGAACAAACAUGGCGGCCGGCUCGCGAACCUUCUCAAUUUACAGCCGCGGAUUGGCCGGUUGAGGGCCAGGCCGUCUGGAAAUCAGUCUGAAUGGGAGAGUGACCACACUCAUUGGCCAGAGCAAAUACAACCCUCUCACACACUCCAUAAUCUGAGAAUCAUUACUGGAACAGAAAGGCAGCUGCCGGAUAAGAGCGGAGGACCGACAAAAAGGCAGACAUAUGAAGGUGUUGGUGUUGAGGGAGGCAGAGUGACUACACAGCGGUGACAGAAACUUGCUGAUCCCCAUAUUGCUGGCCCAUUCACCAGGAUGACAUCAUUUGCUCAGACCGUGCCAACUGUGCUCAAUAAAGCCCAGGCGUGUUUCAGUGUGGGAGUGCCUCUGCUGCACUGAGACUCAUAUGAAAGACGUGCUACGUCCUGAGGGAAGUAUGCAUGAGUGCAGCUAAAGUGCAGCGAGAGUGCAAGUGAAUCAAUAUCAGUGAGCUAAUACCAACACAAACACAUC